GAUGAACGCUGGCGGCGUGCCUAAUACAUGCAAGUCGAGCGAACAGACGAGGAGCUUGCUCCUUUGACGUUAGCGGCGGACGGGUGAGUAACACGUAGGUAACCUACCUAUAAGACUGGGAUAACUUCGGGAAACCGGAGCUAAUACCGGAUAAUAUUUCGAACCGCAUGGUUCGAUAGGGAAAGAUGGCUUUGCUAUCACUUAUAGAUGGACCUGCGCCGUAUUAGCUAGUUGGUAAGGUAACGGCUUACCAAGGCAACGAUACGUAGCCGACCUGAGAGGGUGAUCGGCCACACUGGAACUGAGACACGGUCCAGACUCCUACGGGAGGCAGCAGUAGGGAAUCUUCCGCAAUGGGCGAAAGCCUGACGGAGCAACGCCGCGUGAGUGAUGAAGGUCUUCGGAUCGUAAAACUCUGUUAUUAGGGAAGAACAAACGUGUAAGUAACUGUGCACGUCUUGACGGUACCUAAUCAGAAAGCCACGGCUAACUACGUG
rnacentral:rRNA from 1 species